AUACGAGGGGUGCAAGCGUUAAUCGGAAUUACUGGGCGUAAAGCGUUCGUAGGCGGUUUGUUAAGCAAGAUGUGAAAGCCCUGGGCUCAACCUGGGAACUGCAUUUUGAACUGGCAAACUAGAAUACUGUAGAGGGUGGUGGAAUUUCCAGUGUAGCGGUGAAAUGCGUAGAGAUUGGAAGGAGCAUCAGUGGCGAAGGCGGCCACCUGGACAGAUAUUGACGCUGAGGAACGAAAGCGUGGGGAGCGAACAGGAUAGAAACCCUAGUAGUCC
rnacentral:rRNA from 1 species